GGAGUUUGUCGGCAGCAACAGGCACGGUUUCUGUUGCUGAGAUGAAACGCCAUGACCAAGAAGCAAGUUGAGGAGGAAAGGGUUUAUUCAGCUUACACUUCCAUACUGCUGUUCAUCACCAAAAGAGGUCAGGACUGGAGCUCCACCCAGGGCAGGAACCUGGAGGCAGGAGCUGAUGCAGAGGCCAUGGAGGGGCAUUGUUGACUGGCUUGCUCUUCAAGGGCACCAACUGUUCUGAUCUCUUGAAGAGCUCCUCAGGCAACCUUCUGUUUCUAGCAAGAUGAUACACCCAAGCCUUGAUGACAAGGCUUGGCUCUCAACCUCCUUGCUCCCCACCUCCUGUGAAAUACACAAAGAAAUUCAGUGAUCAUCGGGGAUGCUCUGGUCCAAACACUACCUGCCAGCCAGACGCAGGAGAUGGAUGGCUCAGCAGUAAUCGUGCUGCUUGAGCUUGGUGUCUAAUGGGGACAGUAGUGACAGGAAGUUCACAGGGACUGGAAGACAUGAGUUCUCUGAGGGAAAGGAAGGUGAAGCCUGGUGCUUAGGACCCUCAGGAGACCAUAGGAUGUGAGAAGGCUCAAGACACCCAGAGGUGGGGUCAGAAACAGGGCAAAGGAGACCAAGCAUGGGAGAGCUGCAGUGGACGUGUACAGACAGGAGAAGCAGGCCCUAAAGAAUCCCUGAGGCGGCAGAGAGGCUGGGCUGUGGAACUUUUUAAUUACUUUGCAUUAGGGGACUGUAGAGACCCAGAAGCCCACCCUUCCCCUCCCCUCAUCAGCUUAGCCCCAACAUAUGGUGGCUACCAAAGUAGUUAAAUCGGCUCUUGGUAGAAAAGGAAAGAGAUUCCUCCCAGGCUCUUCCCAGGGUCCACGGCCACACUCCAGGAGGGCUCAACUCCAGGGCAAGGCAGCUGGGACAGCAGGCAGCUGAAGGAGGACUAUUACUGCACCUUAGGGAAGAGUGCAGUGGCGAGUGGGGAGGACUCUGCUGGGACCCGGGGGUCAUGUGCAUUCCCAUUUAGUUGAGCUCUGCUUAAUCCGGGCCUAGGCUCACAGUAAUGGGGAACGAGGAGAGGCUCCCAUCAGAGACCAAGAAGAUGACAGACUCUCUGUAAAGGCUGUCAGAGGGGUCUGCAUGACCAACCACACCUGCUCCUGUUCCUUUGGGGCUCUUGUGACCUCCCUGUCUUCUUGUGAGAUCUUAUGUUCCUCCAACCCUGAGAGCUACAAACCAAUCUCCGGAAUAAAAAAAUCUGUCCCUCGUGCUGUCA
rnacentral:lncRNA from 1 species